rnacentral:rRNA from 1 species
CAACAAAGCAAACUAAAGUUGUCAAAAUGUGGGGAUGGGACAGUAAAUUUGGAGACCUAUAUUUUUGAUCAAGAACUUGCUAGGAAGGAACUUGCAUUAAUGAUAUUUGUGCAUGAGUACCCUCUGUCUAUUGUUGAUCAUGCUAGAUUCCGAAAAUUUUGUGGUACUUUGCAACCAAUGUUCAAGGUGGUGUCUAGAAAUACCAUUAGGCAGGACAUUAUAAAUAUGUUUGGAGUCCAAAAGAAUAGCAUGGUGAAGUACUUUGCAAAGUUUGAGAACCGAGUAGCCAUCACAACGGAUUUGUGGAUGGCUGGCCAUCAAAAGAGGGGCUAUAUGGCUGUAACUGCACAUUAUAUUGAUGCUUCGUGGAACCUAAAGAGCUUCCUAAUGAGGUAA